CAACUUACCAGACCAACUGACAGGACAGACUAGCGCCGAGACAAGGACGAGUCACAAGAGGGCGCCCCGCACCCCAUGCCCCAGCCCGAGUCACCAGUUUCCAGUACCACGUUUCCAGGAGCGACUGCCCUUCCUCCUUUUUGUGAUAUGGCUCUUCUUUGGGCCUAAGGAAAAGCCAACUGUAAGCCGUGGAGGCAUCUCUGGCAAGAGAUGAUUAAGGGUUAAGCAUGUCUGCGGCUGUGUACAGGGAUCACAAGUGUUCCUGCACCGGGAUGUGGCACCACCAGGGGGCGCUCCAAAUCAUGUAUUUUCUACCUUGAAAACUCGUUUUUCCUGUGGCUGCAGAUCCACCGGAGAUGAAUGGCUUUUAGUUUACCUAACUGAUUUAAUAAACUUUUAAAAUAAA